GCCAAACAAGAUCCGGUGAUUUUUGCAGCUGGCACUGACUAUUCGUUUUUGUUUUCCUGGAGCUGUGUGGAAGAUCUGCUGUUUGCUGAGGUUGAGGACUACAGUACUGUAGAGAGCUAGAAUUACUUCUAUCAUGUGUAACAUCUCACAUUGAUGUACUUUGGUUAUUUUCCACAAGGUGAUGCAGAGAACAGUUUGCAUUUUGGCUCUUACCCAGAAGCUGCCUCUUUGUUGGAUAAGUGACUCAUUAUAGAGAACUCAGUCAUCGGUAAAGUGGCUACUGAGUGGUGCUCUACGACAUGUGGGAAGAUUUCAAGUUAUUUUCUCCCUUCUGCAUUUUUCAUUUGGAGUUUUAGAAGACAGCUCAGAAUUUUAGAAGACAGCUCUCAAGUACCUGUUGGGCUUCCUCUGGUGACUGAAUAGUGAUCCCAACAAUUGUAGACAUGUGGCACUGAAUUAGUGAACUCAUCAGACACAAAGAAGACAGGAUUAAUUAUUCACCACAUGCCAUCAACUACAAGAUGUGUGACUGCUGCCUGUCUCUCUCAUUCUCUCCUUUUCAAUCUCUGAGAUUCACAAGUAGAAGUUAGCUUAUUUAUGCAAUUUACCUUAAUUCACCUGUUAAUAAACCUAUAGCAGAAAAAAUCUUUAUUUAUUUUUUAUUAGUUGCCUUGCUCCCUUAUCCCUUUUUAAAAUUAAUCAUGAUGACUGCAGCAUAGUUUUCUAACAUAGGCCAGGAUAUCAGCUUGUUUCUGUUUCGAUUAAGGUAACACCUCACUUGUAAACCUAUUAUUGCAGCCAAUAAGAAAAAUAACUUCCAGGCAUGUUAAAUGCUUAUCACCUAACUUCUUGUCACACAAAGUAGUUGUCAAUUCUACAAUGAACUUGGCUGCAGCCAUCUUUCUCUUCAUUCUAGAUUAUCACAUAGAACAGAAGGAGGAGGCUUGCUCAUGUGCUUCACUAGUCAAAAUAAUCUUCUGUCCCAUGGGAACCAAGGUCAUCUACUGCUCCCACAAUCAGGGGCUAGGCAUUGUAUAAGAAAUCCCAGCAAAUGAAUAUAUUGGGGAAUGUAGUGAUGGCAUAGUUUUGUGGGUGGGACAUUAUACUUUGUAACUGGAAAAUUUUUAGUGGGAAUUUCAGACUUUGUUUCACUUUUAAUUGUGCCGAUACUUUGUAACUAAUAAACACAUUCUUUGAGGAAUUUCCAA